rnacentral:rRNA from 1 species
AGUGAACGCUGGCGGUAGGCCUAACACAUGCAAGUCGAACGGCAGCACAGUAAGAGCUUGCUCUUACGGGUGGCGAGUGGCGGACGGGUGAGGAAUACAUCGGAAUCUACUUUUUCGUGGGGGAUAACGUAGGGAAACUUACGCUAAUACCGCAUACGACCUACGGGUGAAAGCAGGGGAUCUUCGGACCUUGCGCGAUUGAAUGAGCCGAUGUCGGAUUAGCUAGUUGGCGGGGUAAAGGCCCACCAAGGCGACGAUCCGUAGCUGGUCUGAGAGGAUGAUCAGCCACACUGGAACUGAGGCACGGUCCAGACCCCUACGGGAGGCCGCAGUGGGGGAUAUUGGACCAUGGGCGCAAGCCUGAUCCAGCCCUACCGCGUGGGUGAAGGAGGCCUUCGGGUUGUAAAGCCCUUUUGUUGGGAAAGAAAAGCAGCAGGUUAAUACCCCGCUGUUCUGACGGUACCCAAAGAAUAAGCACCGGCUAACUUCGUG